UGAUAUACGUUGAAAGAGCCUAGUAGCAGCUUGUCACUGUUUUCAGAAAGCUAGGGGUUGAUGGAACCUAGCACACACAAACCUGCGAAUUACACUCUGGAGUAUCUUAGUUGAACCUAAGCGGCGUGGCAAUCGAUAUUAUUGCUAAAAGUGGUAUUCGUGGCGACGAUCGCGCUAUGAAUGCAAUUUGGGUGGUAACACGGUUAUUCAAUCGUCCCUGUG
rnacentral:ncRNA from 1 species